UAACGGCGGAGGUGUUUGCGCGCCUAC
rnacentral:piRNA from 1 species